CGCACCUUACGUGGCGAAUUUUCCCAUUCAUUAUCAUUAACUUAUUUGUUGCUGUUGUUGUUGUUUAACUACCGUCAUUUAACUUUAUAGUCGUACGGCAGCAAGGGCCGAAAGCGGAAAAUGGAAAACAGUCGUCAAGCGAACUUGAAGUGAGCUUGGGACCUGUGCGGCCCCGACGUUGAGACUGUUGAAAAAGUUGCAGCACAGAUCACCAUCGGCCCAUGCAUCUAAAGGGUGUAAUUUCUUACACCCCACUGCUUUUACACCAGGACUGGUCACCAACACCAACUUUACGCCACAAUGGGUAGCAAAAGCAUUGGACGGACCGAUUGAUUCGCCCGUUUCUCGGCUGUCGGACGGUACCAUUCGACGUACGUUGC